rnacentral:rRNA from 1 species
AUUGAACGCUGGCGGCAUGCUUUACACAUGCAAGUCGAACGGUAACAGGGAGCUUGCUCCGCUGACGAGUGGCGAACGGGUGAGUAAUGCAUCGGAACGUACCCAGUCGUGGGGGAUAACGUAGCGAAAGUUACGCUAAUACCGCAUACGUCCUGAGGGAGAAAGCGGGGGACCGUAAGGCCUCGCGCGAUUGGAGCGGCCGAUGUCGGAUUAGCUAGUUGGUAGGGUAAGGCCUACCAAGGCGACGAUCCGUAGCGGGUCUGAGAGGAUGAUCCGCCACACUGGGACUGAGACACGGCCCAGACUCCUACGGGAGGCAGCAGUGGGGAAUUUUGGACAAUGGGCGAAAGCCUGAUCCAGCCAUGCCGCGUGAGUGAAGAAGGCCUUCGGG